UCGAGCGGCAGCGACACAUUGAACCUUCGGGGGAUUUGUUGGGCGGCGAGCGGCGGACGGGUGAGUAAUGCCUGGGAAAUUGCCCUGAUGUGGGGGAUAACCAUUGGAAACGAUGGCUAAUACCGCAUGAUAGCUUCGGCUCAAAGAGGGGGACCUUCGGGCCUCUCGCGUCAGGAUAUGCCCAGGUGGGAUUAGCUAGUUGGUGAGGUAAGGGCUCACCAAGGCGACGAUCCCUAGCUGGUCUGAGAGGAUGAUCAGCCACACUGGAACUGAGACACAGUCCAGACUCCUACGGGAGGCAGCAGUGGGGAAUAUUGCACAAUGGGCGCAAGCCUGAUGCAGCCAUGCCGCGUGUAUGAAGAAGGCCUUCGGGUUGUAAAGUACUUUCAGCAGUGAGGAAGGAGGUAUCGUUAAUAGCGGUAUCUUUUGACGUUAGCUGCAGAAGAAGCACCGGCUAACUCCGUGCCAGCAGCCGCGGUAAUACGGAGGGUGCGAGCGUUAAUCGGAAUUACUGGGCGUAAAGCGCAUGCAGGUGGUUUGUUAAGUCAGAUGUGAAAGCCCGGGGCUCAACCUCGGAAUUGCAUUUGAAACUGGCAGGCUAGAGUACUGUAGAGGGGGGUAGAAUUUCAGGUGUAGCGGUGAAAUGCGUAGAGAUCUGAAGGAAUACCGGUGGCGAAGGCGGCCCCCUGGACAGAUACUGACACUCAGAUGCGAAAGCGUGGGGAGCAAACA
rnacentral:rRNA from 1 species